GACGAACGCUGGCGGCGUGCCUAAUACAUGCAAGUUGAGCGCUGAAGGUUGGUACUUGUACCAACUGGAUGAGCAGCGAACGGGUGAGUAACGCGUGGGGAAUCUGCCUUUGAGCGGGGGACAACAUUUGGAAACGAAUGCUAAUACCGCUUAAAAACUUUAAACACAAGUUUUAAGUUUGAAAGAUGCAAUUGCAUCACUCAAAGAUGAUCCCGCGUUGUAUUAGCUAGUUGGUGAGGUAAAGGCUCACCAAGGCGAUGAUACAUAGCCGACCUGAGAGGGUGAUCGGCCACAUUGGGACUGAGACACGGCCCAAACUCCUACUGGAGGCAGCAGUAGGGAAUCUUCGGCAAUGGACGAAAGUCUGACCGAGCAACGCCGCGUGAGUGAAGAAGGUUUUCGGAUCGUAAAACUCUGUUGGUAGAGAAGAACGUUGGUGAGAGUGGAAAGCUCAUCAAGUGACGGUAACUACCCAGAAAGGGACGGCUAACUACGUG
rnacentral:rRNA from 1 species